GACUACCAACUGUCCUGAACCAGGGCUGUUUCUUGGGACAGCGUCUUGGAGGGGAAAGGUUAUAGAUUUACUUGGCUUCCCUUCACCACAAUGUCAAGAGGACAUCAAAACAAGGGAUCCCGGCUGGGCACAGUGUUCACACCUAUAAUCUCAACACUUUGGGAGGCCUAGGCAGGAGGAUCAUUUGAGGCCAGGAGUUCAAGACCAGCCUGGGCAACAUAGCAAGAUUCUAUUAAAGUAGCAUCAUUGUCUAGGUUAAAUACCCAAGGUUUGUUGUCUCACGCCAAGGGAAUCGAGGAUGCAGACACACAAGAAGUGAGUUUAAGAGCAGAGGUUUAAUAGGCGAAAGAAAGAGAAAAGAGAAAAGCUCUCUCUCCUGCAGAGACAGGAGGCACCUGAGUGGGUCUUCCGGUUUUGUGGUUUGCCAUAAUUUCAAAAAUGAUCUCCAAAAGAGUGAUUGUCCUGUCACCAUCAUGUGGGGACUGCCCUAAAACGAUCGUCUUCUGAAAGAUGCUAAAGGAAAUGGGGAAAGAGUCACUAUAUCCAUUUUUCAUCAAGCUAAUUUUCAUCUUUUUCUUUCUCAUUGGUUAUCUUAAAAAUUACAUUUGUCGUUGCAGUUGAUUUCAUUCCUCACCCUUCCCGCCCUUAGGACUGUCUUAUAACCUUUACCUUCAGGAUUUGCUUCCUAUCAUUACCAUCAGCUCCAGAGCCCGCAGGGGCUGGUUAUCCAGUCUGAAGAUCACCUGGGUCUUUCUCUUCCUAUCCCUGACUCCCUGCACCUUAGCCAUUCCACUGCUCAGCCUUCCCUCCACCAGAGAUGCGCAGUGGAAGCACAAAAAGCUAAAACUAAAACUAGUCCAUUUCAUUACUUAUUUGGGCAUCUACCCAAGUAUUUUGAAGCUAUUAGCUCAAAUGAGCUUGGGGGUCCACAGUUAUUUCAUUCUCCCUGAACGGAACCACCACCCAUGAUUACUCCUAGUCAGAAAGACAGAAAUGUCUAGGUGAGAAAAGAAGACAUGCCGAGUGCCAGUCCCACUGGCAGAGGUCUAAAUGAAUAUACCUCUUGCUUUUGACCAUCUCCUUGCCCUUUACUCUGCAUCUCACUUUCUCAUCAGGGAUGCCUAAUUUGAAAUUCCAGAUGCAGCAUUUUCAGGUUGGAAGCACUAAGCGUUGGUGUUGCCAAUAUUAACGGAUCAGUGGUUCUUGCGGUCCCUGAAAUGUGAUUCUCAGAGUAUUCAUUGGCAUUAUGGUUAGGACAGCCUCUGAUGCUUCAGAUUCUCCCUGUCUCAUUGACAGUGGAGCACAGGACAUGAUCUAAUGGUGCCUGUUUUCUGUGACUUCUCACUCAACUUUGAGAGGUGUGUAUUUUUAAAAGGUUCCAAUAGGUUGUGAUAUUGUACUAUAGGUUUGUGAGAUGUUACCACUGGGGGAAGGUGAGUAAAAAGUAUACGGGAUAUCUCUGUAUUAUUUCUUACAACUCUAUAUACAUUUAUAAGUACCUCAAAAUAAAAAGUGUAAUUUUAAAAGUCUCCUGGCGAAGGUAGAAAUGAAGUGUUAUUGUUCUCAAUGCGUAUAGAACUUCUAUUUGGAACGAUGAAAACAUUCUGGAGAGCUGUUGUACAAUAAUGUGAAUAUACUUAACACUGCUGAACUACACUCAAAAACGGCUGAGAUGAUCAAUUUUAUGCUAUGUGUUUUUUAUUACAGUUAAAAUUUUUAAAAAUAUAUUUUUAAGGCUUCAAGGUCUUGCUAUGAGAAGAACAACUAAACCUAACAAUGAUUUUUCAUAUACUCAACACAGCCACUAAAAUGGCUACAAUUUAAAAGACUGACCACACCAAAUGUUGGCAAGGAUGUGAAGGAAGUGGAACUCCCAUAUGCUGCUGGUGAGAUAUACAACCACUGUGGAAAACAGCUUGGCAAUUUCUUAUAAAAUUAUACAUACACUUACAAUAUGAUCCAGAAAUUCCACUUGCAGGUAUUUAUUCAGGAGAAAUGAAAACAUAUGUCUGCAAAUAAGACUUGAACUUGGCACCUUUAUUCAAAACAGCCCCAAACUGGAAAUAGCCCAAAUGUUCAACUGGUCAAUGGAUAAACAAAUGAUGAUAUAUACAAUGAAAUACCACAGUGCGAUACAAUGCUAAAAACUACUGAUAAAUACAACAUGAAUGAAUUUCGAAAACAUUAUGCUAAGUGAAAAAAAUUUAGACAUAGGAGCAUAUAUUGUGCAAUUCCAUGUAUUUGAAAUCUGAACACAGACAACACUCGUCUAUAUGACGGGGAGCAGACCUGUGGUUGCCUGGGGCAUGGGGAAUCAAGAGUGGGGACUGACUACAAAAAUCACAAAGGAACUUUUUGGGUUGAUAGAAAUAUUUGAUAUCCUGAUUGCGAUAGUGAUGGUUACUUAGGUGUAUGUGUCUGUAUAUGCAUUAGUCUGUUUUCAUACUGCUAUAAAGAACUGUCCGAGACUGGGUAAUUUAUAAAGGAAAGAGGUUUAAUUGACUCACAGUUCCGCAGGACUGGGGAGGCCUCAGGAAACUUUCAAUCGUGUAAGAAAGCGAAGGGGAAGCAAGACCCCUUCUUCACAUGGUGGCAGGAAGGAAAAUUAACGCAGGAAGAACUAGUAAACACAUAAACCAUCAGAUCUCGUGAGAACUCACUCACUAUCACGAGAACAACAUCGGGGAAACUGCCCCCAUGAUUCAAUUACUUCCACCUGGUCUCUCUCUUGACACGUGGGGAUUAUGAUGAUUAUGGGGAUUAUAAUUCAAGAUGAGAUUUUGGGUGGGGACACAGCCAAGCCAUAUCAGUAUGUUUUAUUUUUUUUUAAUUAUACCUCAGUCAAAUUGAUUGAGAAGAAAGAGAAGUCUCCAAGAGUCUCUAACCGAUCAGAAAAAUAAAAUAAAGCCUAGCUAAGAUUUUUUUAUUCUCAAUAGUUUAACUUCUUAAAUGCAUCUUCAAAAAUUAUCAGGUACCUGAGUCAACAGACUGUCUUAGAUCUGCCAGUAGAGGGAACUCUUUCUCAAAUCUCAAGGGGCCCAGAAUAGCCAAAACAUCCAGAAAAAUGAAGAACAAAGUUGAAGGUCUCACACUUCCUGAUUUCAAAACUUGCUAUAAAGCUACCGUAAUCAAAACAGAGUGGUCCUGGCAUAAAGACAGACUCAUAGACCAAUGAAAUCAGAAAUAAACCUUAAUAUAUAGGGUCAAAUGAUUUUCAACUAGGAUGCCAAGACCACUCAAUGGAGAAAAGACAGUCUUUUUUUCAAUAAAUAGUGCUGGGAAAACUGGAUAUCCACAUGCAAAAGGAUGAAGUUGUACCAUUACCUUACAUCAUAAACAAAAAUUAACUCAAAGUCAUCAAUGACCUAAACAUAAGAGCUAAAACUAUAAAACUCUUAGAAGAAAGGGGCAAAAUUUCAUGACAUUGAAUUUUGCAAUGAUUUCUUGGAAUUAACACCAAAACACAGGCAAUACAAGAAAAAAUAGGUAAACUAGACUUCAUCAAAAUUAAAAUAUUUUGUGCAUGAAAGGACAUAGUCAAGGCAACACACAGAAUAGGAAAAAAAAUCAAAUUAUCUAUUUGGUAAAGGAUUAAUAUCCAGAAUAAAGAACUCCCACAACCCAGCAACAACCUCCAUUUAAAAAUGGGCAAAGAACAAUGGUUCCCAGAGGCUAAGGGGAAGCGGGAAUGAGGAGUUAUUGUUUAAUGAGUAGAGUUUCAGUUUGGGAUGACGAAGAAGGCUGGAGGUGGAUGGUGUUGAUGGUUGCAUGACAGUGUGAAUGUAUUCAAUGCCACAAUGUAUUCAACGCCACUUACACUUAAAAAUAGUAAAAUAGUAAAUUUUAUGUUACAUAUAUUUUACCACAGUAAAAAACCUAAAAAAAAUAAAAUUAAUUAGAAACAUGAAACAGAGUACUUAUUAUGUGCCACUUUUCACAUAUUACUUGAGUUGAUCCUCUCAACAAUCCUAUGAAGCAGUCACUUUUAUCAUCAUCCCCAUUUUAUGGAUGAGAAAUGGAGGCUCAGAGAGGUCAAGUGCUUUGCCUUUGGAAAUGAAGACAACGAGUGGUAGAGCCCAGAAAGUCAGGCUCCGGGCUCAGUCCCUGUAACCUGUACCCCACACAUCUUCCUUGCUGGCUAGCAGAUGAUGAACAUGACCUGUGUUUGGGUGGGGUGAGGCAAAUCAAGGAGAGGCUGGGACCAGGCCUCCUCCCAGCCACUGGCCUUAAUUGCAGGCUUUUGACUCAGCACUUAUGCCGAACAGAUCAGGUGUGCCCUGUGCCAGGGCCUUCUGACUUUUACUGCUGGUGGCAGAGCAU
rnacentral:lncRNA from 10 species